AGAGUUUGAUCCUGGCUCAGGACGAACGCUGGCGGCGUGCUUAACACAUGCAAGUCGAGCGGGGAUAUCGAUUGGAAAGCUUCGGCCGGAAGAUUGAUAUUCUAGCGGCGGACGGGUGAGUAACGCGUGAGCAAUCUGUCCCAGACAGGGGGAUAACAGAUGGAAACAUCUGCUAAUACCGCAUAAGACCACGAGAUCACAUGAUUUUGAGGUAAAAGGAGCAAUUCGGUUUGGGGUGAGCUCGCGUCCGAUUAGCUAGUUGGUGAGGUAACGGCCCACCAAGGCGACGAUCGGUAGCCGACCUGAGAGGGUGAUCGGCCACAUUGGAACUGAGACACGGUCCAAACUCCUACGGGAGGCAGCAGUGGGGAAUAUUGGGCAAUGGGCGAAAGCCUGACCCAGCAACGCCGCGUGAGUGAAGAAGGCUUUCGGGUUGUAAAGCUCUGUCCUUGGGGACGAAGGAAGUGACGGUACCCAAGGAGGAAGCCCCGGCUAACUACGUGCCAGCAGCCGCGGUAAUACGUAGGGGGCGAGCGUUGUCCGGAAUGACUGGGCGUAAAGGGCGUGUAGGCGGCUCUUUAAGUAUGGAGUGAAAGUCCUGCUUUCAAGGUGGGAAUUGCUUUGUAGACUG
rnacentral:rRNA from 1 species